rnacentral:rRNA from 1 species
UACGAAGGGUACAAACGUUGCUCGGAAUCAUUGGGCGUAAAGCGCACGUAGGCGGCUUGCCAAGUCGGACGUGAAAUCCCUCAGCUCAACUGAGGACGUGCAUCCGAAACUGGCGAGCUUGAGUACUGAAGAGGAUCGCGGAAUUCCCGGUGUAGAGGUGAAAUUCGUAGAUAUCGGGAGGAACACCAGUGGCGAAGGCGGCGAUCUGGGCAGAUACUGACGCUGAGGUGCGAAAGCGUGGGGAGCAAACAGG